rnacentral:rRNA from 1 species
AUGGCUAGGGUGGCGGCGGUGGCCAUGUGCGCGCUGUUAGCGCUGGUGGUGGUCGGUCCGCCGUCGGUGGCAGCACAGGACUGCGAUGCGGGGAAGCUGAUCGUGUGCGCGGCGGCGAUCAUCGGCGGGGCGGAGCCGUCGGAAUCGUGCUGCUCGAACCUGAAGGCGCAGCAAGGCUGCCUCUGCAAGUACGCGAGCAACCCGGCGUAUUCCGGCUACAUCAACAGCCCCACCGCCCGCAAGACCCUCGCCUCCUGCGGCAUCCCUAUCCCGACCUGCCCGCAGUAG